CGUAGGUGGCAAGCGUUGUCCGGAAUUAUUGGGCGUAAAGCGCGCGCAGGCGGCUUCUUAAGUCCAUCUUAAAAGUGCGGGGCUUAACCCCGUGAUGGGAUGGAAACUGAGAGGCUGGAGUAUCGGAGAGGAAAGUUGGAAUUCCUAGUGUAGCGGUGAAAUGCGUAGAGAUUAGGAAGAACACCGGUGGCGAAGGCGACUUUCUGGACGACAACUGACGCUGAGGCGCGAAAAGCGUGGGGAGCAA
rnacentral:rRNA from 1 species